rfam:Taphrina deformans PYCC 5710, WGS project CATL01000000 data, contig: scaffold00003, organelle: mitochondrion
GCCAGGUUAACUCAACUGGUAGAGUGUGCAUCUUGUAAGUGCAAUGUUAAGAGUUCAAGUCCCUUACCUGGCU